UGAUUACCCUCACUAGCAUGGAAUUCUUGAUGUUACUUAUUUUAUAACACUGUCUUAAAUCUUUAGUUUGUUACUAGUGACUGCAUUUUCAAUAUUCUUGUCAGGUGAAAUUUAAAAGUUGCAGUGGCUAAGUGAGAAGCGUAGCUUCGGAUCCUGUGAAGUCAUGGCACGUUAUCUUACAUCUUAUCUUAUUAUCUGGUAAUGACAAAGUUGCUUCUAACUGAAGUAACUCAAAGGAAAUAUGGUUCACUGAAGAGAAUGUUGGAUGGUGACAAAUAAUGCUCUCCAGGCCUCUGGUUUUCCCCAGCUUCACAACAAGAAUAAGACUUUCCCAACAGUGUGGGUAUGGAUGGUCAACUUUAUGAUCAGCUGAAGUAUUUGAAUGCCUCAGAGAGAAAGCGGUGAUGUGUGCUGUAUAUCCAUUCUCAUGAUCUACUCACUACUCCUAAUAUAGGAGUUGAAAAUUAUCGCUGGAAGAUUAUUUCAGAACUUGAUCAACUAAAGGGUUAAGAUCCUCUCUUGACAUUUGAGAAGGUGGUCCUGUUGCUUUUUCUUGGUGACUGCUCACAGGCUGUGAGAUGUGGAUGUUUCUCUUCUAGCAAGAGAAAGCCUGUCCUUUAUUUCCAUGGAGCUGAAUGAACAAAGACCUCUCUACUUCCGAUUUCCACCAUUUUACCCAACAUUUGAGUCACCAGAUGGCUUCUCCCACAGAAGCACCCACCAUCUUACCAAGACUCAAAAGCAGAGUAACAGAAGUGAGCAUUUGUUUCCCUGAAGAAGUGUCUCCUGUGCCAGCUCUUCAUUCAGCUUUCUACAUUCUAUUUUAAAAUGAGAAAGACUUUGUAAUGAGAUGCAUGAAGGAGCCAGUCGUCUUCACUGAUAUUUCCUUCUUCAUUUCAGGAGGGAUAAGUUCUUCACUGUGUCAUAUUGGAGCUCCUAUCAGAUAAAGUGUCUGCAUGUAUUGCUAUGCCAGAUUGCCUUGAUGUGCAUGAGAGGUUACAACAGGAGAACCAGAAUAUACUUUCCAUUCUGAAAUGAGGAAGGAACUUCCCCAGACAAUUGGGGAAGCCCCAGAGCAGGUAUUUUCUAGUCCAGGACCUAGGCUUGACUUUGUAGAUAGAUGUCUUGAUGUCAACUCACAUAAAGCAACUAAUGCAAAGGAACAAAUGCAGAGUCACCUUGUCUAUAGUGUGUAAAUGCAUCAUCCCAAUCUGUGAUCAAAAUAUAUAUUUUGCAUGUGUAAAUCCACAUAAGUCUGGAUAUGAUGAGCUUUGACCGGAAGGAGAAAUUACUCUGCACAUUUCAUUUUUCGCAAAGAAAAUGAAGCUUUAAAGACCUCUAGAGUUACAGGAUAAUGAUUGGGUUUAUGUUAAAUCAUUCUCUCUCCAUGGCUUUUUAUGAACCCUAAGCAGCAAAAGGAACAAAAACACUCUACUAUCAAAGAGGUGGGGCAGAACUUUAUUUGUUAAAGAAAUUCUCUUCUGGUGUGAUGGAAGAGACCAGAGGUGUAAAGCUUCAGUUUAUCCACUCAACUUUCCUGGCACAGUUUCAGCUUCUCAUACUGCUGAUGAAAUUAGCUUUUCGAUUCUUCUGUGGCUGAUGGAGAACUGAGAUGACCUACAUGUUUCCAUCAUAUAUAGGUGGAAAUAGGCCCAAUAGAAUGAACUCUUAGCCACGUAAGAGUGAUGUGUUGAGAGAGCAGAAAUAUUUAGGAUGGGCUUUUUUUCUGGUUCCUUCUGAAUUUCCUUCCCAAACUAAGGAGCAAUCUGUUGUUUUUAUGUUUACAUAGCAUUCUUUGUCUCCAUCAUUUGUGAUUAUUUGGGAUGUUUUCUGUCAGUCUGAAAUGCGAGCUUAUAAUGCUCACAUGCUCCCUGCUGUGAUGUUGUAUGUGGCGAGUAUGAUUUCUUGGCAAAAGAGCCAGAAAUAGGUUAUGUAUUCUUUUCCACUUUAAUCUGGAGCUCUUCUUAGUGCACCUUAUUCCAAGCUUGUGAUUUAGAAAAUGUGACUUACUAGCUUAAAAUAAUAUUUUCAAAUCUCGAUCAAAUAAAGGUAUCUAGGUUCUGUUAAUAGGGUUUGGGGGGACAGUAGCAGGGUUAGGGGACGUUUUGGGGAGGGGGGUUGUUUUGUUUUUCCUUUUAGAAAACUGCUGGAGAGAGCCAGACAGCCUGCAAAUGGCUGAAAAAAAAAGCAACAGCUGAAAUCCUUCCUAAAUCUUAAUGAUAGAUUGCAAGGGCAGCAUUCUGUUUUUUAAAAUGUACUGAAAUUUAAUGGUGAACAAGUUCCAUAGUGGAGUAAGGACAAAUACUGAUCUUGAUUCUGGUCUUCAUAACAGAGUUCAGUUAGAUCCACAUCUAGAUAUGCAUUGUAACAAUAGGAUUUAAUGGCAGCUUUACCCCUUUUUUGUUUCCAGGAAGAAAAGAUCAGGCUCAUAAGUUAAGGAGUGAUGGGCAAGACACUGCAUAUCAAAGUAAAGCCAAUUGUAACGAGCAGAGAGGUGCACUAACAUUGUGGGUGACACUCUGAGCUGUGUAAGAGUCACGUUAUAUUGUGGCAAGGCAACCACAAACUUGGCCUGACUUUUAAGAAUGCAGGAUUUCUUUACUGAAUACGGUCUGAAUUUUAUUGUGCUAGAGACAACUAGAAACGGACUUUUCCUUUUAGGUCCUCCUUAUGUUGAAACCAGUGGGAUUUAAUGCAGAUGUCUGUAGAAGCAGGAUCCAUCUCUAAGCGAUGGAAAAUACUGUCAAUAUCAUAGGAUUAUAUGAGGUUGGAAGGUAUCUGGCAUAAGAAACAUCUGUUCCUAAAUCUGGGAAUUUCUUUUUCUUCCUUCUACCUAUACUCAUUAUCCUUUGGACAUUAGAGCUAGCAGCUGUUUCUAGCACUGCUUGAUGACAAAAUACGUGGGGGACAGGAAUGUAUUUUAUUUUCUGUGGGUAGGUACAAAACCCUGAUUAGAGAGUAGACACACCUUAAGCUCUUUGAUGCCAUGUCCAUAGGAAUAACUCAACAUUUUGUAUUUUGUAACCCUGCAUUCUAAGAAAUAGACCUAUUGAUUUUUUUUUUCUGACUUCUAUCCCUGACGAUGUGACAAUGUUAGUUGUUAAGUUUAAUUUUAGAACAUAACAUUUUUAGCAGGGCUAAAGAUCUGUGGCUUUCACAGAAAUAAUACUCCAAUAGUGCAUGCCCAAGAGACCCCCACUGCUGUAUCUUUCCAGCCAGCUUCUUUAUAAAAUUGCGGUGUUAGGAAAUGCUGCCUCAGCGUUCUUACUUUUUCUUGCUCCACUUUCUUUCUCUAUGUUGGUUGGAAAUCUUCCCAUGUGAAAGAUUAUAAAAAUAAGGGGCAUGUGCAAUAGAUCAUAUAUAUACACAUAUAUAUAUUUUAAUACUUGUGGACAAAAUGAUGUUACAAGUUGUUUGAAAACAACAAAAUCACCAAUGUCUUCCAUUUUGAGAUGUGUAUAGUUCCAUAAGCAUUAGUGCUUUGUAGCAAACUGUAGUGCCAUGUUAGGAUCAGUGCAUGAGCCUAGUAGUAUUUUUACAAUUUCAGAGUGACAAAUUUAUUAAUAAACAGUGAUAAUGUAAUUAACAAUAGAAAGGAUACAGUAAAAAUGUCACAAACAUGGUCUAAAUAUGCAGUAUCCUCCCUUUGGCAAUGGUAAUGUUAUCUUUAGAAAUGGAAUGCAUUCACUUAAUGGGCUUCAUAGAAUCAUAGUUGACUCUUUGUUUUUAGUAAAUCUGUCCAACUGCAGUAGUAGACUAUUGUACGUAAGCGUCUAGAAUUCUCAUCUCUUUACCGGUGGUGAUUUUUUUUUUUUUUAAGUCUUUAGUGAAGGUGCUUUCUUCCAUGAGCAGCGUUUUCAGUUUUAUUAUUACCCAUCCUAUGAUAUACUCAGAAAGCAUGAAUAUGCUAAAGAGCUAGUGUGCAUUUUGUACACGUCUCUGCUACCUUAAGAUUAUCAUUUGCAAACUCUGUUAAUUAAAUCAAAACAAUUUUUCAGUUCUGACUAUGUAAUUGUUACAAGUUAAAUGUUAGCCUCCUCAUCUUAUAAAUUAAUGGUUGCAAAAUGCUAUCUGCCAAUUCUCUGUAGAAACUUUUAUCUAUUAUUGCAGGAAUCGGGAACCUCUUUUGCUGAAGUCCUAUUGAAUCUCUAAAACACCAAUGGUGGAUCCUGCAUUUACACACAUCUUAAUAAUAACGUGAGAGAAUAGUAAGGUCAAGGGCUGUUAAAAGUCAAUGCUGCAGACUGUAGCUGUUCAGUGGGCCGUAUCUGGCCUAUGGGUCAUAGAUUCCCCACCCCUGUAUUACCGAGAACUCAAUAUCCUCUAUUUUGGAUAACUUCCAGUAUUGCUUUCCAUCUCUAAUCUCAAUUUUAAUAGUUGCUGUCUCUCCCUCUGCUUUUUAAGAAGGAAAGUUUAGACCAGGGGAAGUCCAAAUGAUGUAGCACUCAAUGGGCAGCUUGGACUGGUCAAAUAAGAGACUGUUAUAAUCUCCAAGGUUUGCAAUGCUCUGUGGAUGGCAUCCUCUGAUUUCCUAGGAAAAAGUGUUUUAUUUGGUGCCAGUGUUUCUUUUCACCCAUUUCUCUCUUUUAUAGGAACACAAUUCUCUGUCAGCUUAGAGAGGAUACUGCAUCUUUUUUUCCUGAGACCUGCCUGUAAAUGGCCAUUAGGGGGAGGGAGGGAAUAAGUAGCUUGGUUUUGUAAUUUUAAUAUAAAUAUAAAGUAAUUAAGCAGCAUAUACUUGGGUGCGAAACCAGUAAUCCUUGCAGAGUUAAUGUAUGUAAUGGGGGGGAACUUCUGCAUUUACUACAUCUCCAAGAAAAUUGGGCAGGUGGGCCAUUUACGGCAGAGCUCUGGGGGACCUGUCAUUGGAGUUAGAUUCAAUUCUGAACAAAAGUAGCUGUGUAGCUGUACCAUUGAAUAAAGUAGUUUAGUGCUUGGGAGAAUCAAUUGAAAAAUACCUCUGAAACUGGAAUGCAAAAUAGCACAGUAUGUAGGGGGAAGAAUCCCUGAUGCAAACAAAGCCAUAAGAUGAUGUAAUAAGAAAAAAUAGAACUUUAGUAGCAAUAACUGUUUUGCAUGUGAUAGUAAAAUAACUUGCGUUAGCAAGAUUGUACAGUAGAAUAAGUGGGUAAUAACCAAAUAAGUUUGUGGCGUUCUGUGCUGCAGGGAGUUGCACUUCUUCCUAAGAAGAUGGGUGAAUUCCUCUUAGUGUUCCUCUCCUUGGAGGGAACUUGGCACUUGAAUACUUUGUUAAUGAACCUGGUACGAAAAACAUUGGUUAGUUUUGUAACGUGUCUGAAUCGAUGUGUGCUGGGGAAGGGCAGGCAGUUCUUUUUGAAAGUAUGGGUGAAGUUUCCCUAUUUUGUUUUUAUUUUUUUGUAGUCUAAUACAUGCUCUGUUUCUCUGAGGUAAAACUGAACCCUUCCAAGUACUGAACUGUGAAGAGAACCUGGUUCUGUUGUUAGAAGGCAUUUUAUUGCAGGAAGUGCUUUUUGUUUUCUUUCUUUAAAAAGACCAAUUUAAAAAAAAAAAGUUUAUUGGAGAACACUUGACACUCGAAACAUUUGUACUUCUCAAACAGAAAUGUAGGAUUCUAAAAAUAUUACUUUACAGCCAAAAUAAUUUUGGGCUUGCUAAGCACCCUAUUUCAGACCACGGCUGAUUUCUGUUGCCUGAAGCUUUGAGAGACAAAUGCUGUGAAGCCUCUCAUAACACAAAGGGGUAUUGAUCUACAGCUGUAGCCUCUGUUUAAAAAAAA